rnacentral:rRNA from 1 species
GAUGAACGCUAGCGGCAGGCCUAAUACAUGCAAGUCGAACGGUCCACUUCGGUGGAUAGUGGCGCACGGGUGCGUAACACGUAUGCAACCUACCUUACAUUGGGGGAUAGCCUUUCGAAAGGGAGAUUAAUACCGCAUAAGACAGUAACAUGGCAUCAUGUAGCCGUUAAAGAUUUAUCGAUGUAAGCUGGGCAUGCGUCCAAUUAGUUAGUUGGUGAGGUAAUGGCUCACCAAGACGAUGAUUGGUAGGGGAACUGAGAGGUCAAUCCCCCACACUGGAACUGAGAUACGGGCCAGACUCCUACGGGAGGCAGCAGUAGGGAAUAUUGGGCAAUGGACGCAAGGCUGACCCAGCCAUGCCGCGUGCAGGAAGAAGGCGUUCUGCGUUGUAAACUGCUUUUAUAUAGGAAGAAACGACCCUUGCGAGGGGCAUUGACGGUAUUAUAUGAAUAAGCACCGGCUAACUCCGUGCCAGCCGCCGCGGUAAUAC